ACUGCUCUAAUAAGGAGAGUCAGC
rnacentral:siRNA from 1 species